GCCCCAUUGGCGGAAUUGGUAGACGCGCUCGACUCAAAAUCGAGUUCCGAAAGGAGUGCUGGUUCGACCCCGGCAUGGGGCA
rfam:Rhizobium oryzae strain 1.7048 C502, whole genome shotgun sequence.